UCCACCGAUUGGGGGUGCCUUUAAUAAAUACGGGCUGAGAUCAUACCCUUUGAACCUGGACGGAUAAUGCCGUCGAGGGAAGAAGUAAAUCUCCGUU
rnacentral:ncRNA from 1 species